ACUCCUACGGAAGGCAGCAGUGGGGAAUAUUGCGCAAUGGGCGAAAGCCUGACGCAGCGACGCCGCGUGAGGGACGAAGGUCUUCGGAUUGUAAACCUCUUUCAGCAGGGACGAAGCGAAAGUGACUGUACCUGCAGAAGAAGCACCGGCUAACUACGUGCCAGCAGCCGCGGUAAU
rnacentral:rRNA from 1 species